rnacentral:rRNA from 1 species
UACGUAGGUGGCGAGCGUUGUCCGGAUUUAUUGGGUUUAAAGGGUGCGUAGGCGUCCUGACAAGUUUUAGGUGAAAUGCCCAGGCUUAACCUGGGAGCUGCCUGAAAAACUGUUGGGAUUGAGUACAGACGAGGUAGGCGGAAUUGACGGUGUAGCGGUGAAAUGCAUAGAUAUCGUCAGGAACACCGAUAGCGAAGGCAGCUUACUAGACUGUAACUGACGCUGAGGCACGAAAGUGUGGGGAUCAAAC